rnacentral:snRNA from 1 species
CCCCCUUUUGGGGGGGUUGUAAUUUUAUCCUUUAAAGAAUCUGUUCUUAUCAGCUUAAUAUCUGAUAUGGAUCUAAUUGAUCCAGGAUAUUAAAUUUAUUUUUGUGAGUGGUGUUCCAACGAAGCUUGCUUUGAGGACGCCAGGGUUGGUCCGGUGUUGCACUACUUCCGGGAGUGGCCCGUCCCCG